AUUGUAUUUGAAUGUACUAUAAUCAAUUGAUUAUGGCUUAUUCUUAUACAUAGUAUAAUUUGUGUGUGAAUUGGUUAAUAUUAAAACGAAUAUGCGCAUAAAUGAUAUAAAUCCUACAUCUCUGUCCCGUCUUGAAACACGGACCAAGGAGUCUAUCCUGUAUGCAAGUUGUAUGGUGUAAAACCAAUAAGCGUAAUGAAAGUAAGAGGUGUGAAAGUUGUAAAAGUGUCAACACCUGCCGAUCUAAAUUCUUUGAUGAAAGAUUCGAGUAUGAGCAUAUAGGGUGGGACCCGAAAGAUGGUGAACUAUGCCUGAAUAGGACGAAGCCAGGGGAAACUCUGGUGGAGGUUCGAGUGGAUUCUAACGUGCAAAUUGAUCUUUAAAUUUGGGUAUAGGGGCGAAAGACUAAUCGAACCAUCUAGUAGCUGGUUCAUUCCGAAAUUUCCCUCAGGAUAGCUGCAACUUAUGAAAUAGUUUUAUGAGGUAAAGCGAAUGAUUAGAGGUUUCUGGGAUGGAAUAUCCUGGACCUAUUCUCAAACUUUCAAUGGGUAAGAAAAGUGUGAUGUUUAAUUAAUCAUACUAUUUGAAUAUGAGUUGCAAGUGGGCCAUUCCGGGUAAGCUGGACUGGCAAUGCGGGAUCAACCGAACGCUAUGUUACGGCGCCAGAUUGUUCGCUCAGUUGGAUGUAAAAGGUGUUAGUUCAUCUAGACAGCAGGACGGUGGCCAUGGAAGUCGGAAUCCGCUAAGGAGUGUGUAACAACUCACCUGCCGAAUGAAGUAGCCCUGAAAAUGGAUGGCGCUUAAGCGAACAGCCUAUACAUAGCCAUUAUUGUUAGGAUUAUACAAUAAUGAGUAGGAAUGCGUGAUGAAUGUUGUGAAGUAUGAUGUGUGAACAUGUAUGGAACAUUCAUUAGUGCAGAUCUUGGUGGAAGUAGCAAAUAUUCAAAUGAGAUCUUUGAAGACUGAAGUGGAGAAAGGUUCCAUAGGAAUAGUGAUUAUCUAUGGGUUAGUCGAUCCUAAGAGAUAGGUGAAAUCCAUUGAAAAGUCAAUUUCGAUUGACAUUUAUCGAAAGGGAAUCAGGUUAAUAUUCCUGAACCAAAGAGAAGGGUAAACGGUAACGUAUAGGGGUCUCAAGACAUUGAUGUUAUUCCCAGGAAGAGUUUUCUUUUCUUGUUAACAAAUGGGCAGUGCUUGGAAUCGAUUCAGUCGGCGAUAAGCAUUGUUAUUUGGUAAAGUACUACUAUUUUGUGUAGUAUCUGGUGCAAUGACAUGAAUCCUUGAAAAUUGAGACUUUUGUUUUCCCGAAGCUUUGGUCGUACUAAUAACCGCAUCAGGUCUCCAAGGUGAAUAGCCUCUAGUUAAUAGAAUAAUGUAGAUAAGGGAAGUCGGCAAAUUAGAUCCGUAACUUCGGGAUAAGGAUUGGCUCUGAGGGCUAAGUGGGUUUAAGGUGUUAAUAGUAUAAGUUUGAUAUGGGAUUGAGUGUUUUGAGUUGCUUCGGUGAUUUGAAAUAUUUGGUUCUAAUGUCUUAGUUGUCUAUUUUCAUCUACCACUAUGAAUAGCUAACUCAGAACUGGUACGGACAAGGGGAAUCCGACUGUUUAAUUAAAACAAAGCAUUGUGAUGGUGUGAAAGAUAUGUUGACACAAUGUGAAUUCUGCCCAGUGCUCUGAAUGUGAAAGUGGCGUAAUUCAAGCAAGCGCGGGUAAACGGCGGGAGUAACUAUGACUCUCUUAAGGUAGCCAAAUGCCUCGUCAUCUAAUUAGUGACGCGCAUGAAUGGAUUAAUGAGAUUCCCACUGUCCCUAUCUACUAUCUAGCGAAACCACAGCCAAGGGAACGGGCUUGGAAAUAUCAGCGGGGAAAGAAGACCCUGUUGAGCUUGACUCUAGUUUAACAUUGUGAAAUGACUUUAGAGGUGUAGCAUAGGUGGGAGGAGGUAACUCCGAUCCUGAAAUACCACUACUCUGAAUGUUGUUUUACUUAUUCCAUGAAAGAGGAUACUUACUUAAUUGUAAGUGUUAUGAUGUAAACUUUGGUGACCUCUUUGGGAGACAUUGUUAGGUGGGGAGUUCGGCUGGGGCGGCACAUCUGUUAAAGAAUAACACAGGUGUCCUAAGAUGAGCUCAAUAAGAACAGAAAUCUUAUGUAGAACAAAAGGGUAAAAGCUCAUUUGAUUUUGCUUUUCAGUAUGAAUACAAACUAUAAAAGUAUGGCCUAUCGAUCCUUUACAUAAAGGGAGAUCCUUGGUAGAGGUGUCAGAAAAGUUACCACAGGGAUAACUGGCUUGUGGCAGCCAAGCGUUCAUAGCGACGUUGCUUUUUGAUUCUUCGAUGUCGGCUCUUCCUAUCAUUGCGAAGCAGAAUUCGCCAAGUGUUGGAUUGUUCACCCAUUAAUAGGGAACGUGAGCUGGGUUUAGACCGUCGUGAGACAGGUUAGUUUUACCCUACUGAUGAAGUAAUUGUCGUAACAGUAAUCUAACUUAGUACGAGAGGAACCGUUAGUUCAGAUAAUUGGUAAAUCCAUUUAACUGAUAAGUUAGUGAUGGGAAGCUAUCAUCUGUGGGAUUAUGACUGAACGCCUCUAAGUCAGAAUCCUUGCUGAAAUGAAACGACGAUUCUCUUAAUAAGAGGAACAAUUUGUAUUUCACGCAAGAAUACUUGAUAUGUUAGUAUCAAGGAAAGCGAUUUGUAUAGUAUUGAAUGAAAUUGAAUUGUUAUUGCAAUCGUUUGUAGACGACUUAUAGUAAAGAAGGUACUGUAAGAGUAUGAGCUGGCUUGUUCCAGCGAGUCUUUGAGGUUUAUCCU
rnacentral:rRNA from 1 species